rnacentral:rRNA from 1 species
AGAGUGGGUAGUCCGCACGAGCGCACCUUGUCAUUAGUUGCUACGAAAGGGCACUCUAAUGAGACUGCCGGUGACAAACCGGAGGAAGGUGGGGAUGACGUCAAGUCCUCAUGGCCCUUAUGGGUAGGGCUUCACACGUCAUACAAUGGUACAUACAGAGCGCCGCCAACCCGCGAGGGGGAGCUAAUCGCAGAAAGUGUAUCGUAGUCCGGAUUGUAGUCUGCAACUCGACUGCAUGAAGUUGGAAUCGCUAGUAAUCGCGGAUCAGCACGCCGCGGUGAAUACGUUCCCGGGUCUUGUACACACCGCCCGUCAAGCCAUGGAAGUCGGCAGUACCCGAAGCCGGUGUCCCAACUCUUCGGAGAGGGAGCCGUCGAAGGUAAGGCUGGUAACUAGGGCUAAGUCGUAACAAGGUAGCCGUACCGGAAGGUGCGGCUGGAUCACCUCCUUUCU